GGCACAAAGCACAGCAACCUUUUUGUGUGUUUGUACUUUCUGUUCUGGGUUCUAUCAUGUUAAUGUCCAACCAGUUUGUUCUGUAAAGCCCUGUCGUGUGCUGCUGGCGUGAAAAACUCGUAGCUCCACAUGUCAGGCUCAGUUUAUUAUGGUAACGACCUCACCUUUUGGAAAUGCGAGGUUUUCACUGGACAAAGUGGCGUUUGUUCCUGUGUUUUGUUGUACAUGUUUUUGCACGUUUACUGAGACUUUCUCAUUUAGGACGGAGCCUGUUCAGUUCUCCAGGAUGAGACAAUCGAUCUCUCCUGGAUGUGUACAGUCAUUUAUUUACAGUGACACACUGGGCAAUGUGUGGGCAGCACGUUCCUGCUGCUCAGCCAACGACAAAUCGAAGAGGAUGCCUGUGGAUUUGUUAUAUAAAAGCUAACUUGUCUGAUGGACGGACUGAACCUGGAACCCUGCU